rnacentral:misc_RNA from 1 species
CGCAUAGGCCAUCACUAACAACACCAACAAAAAAAACGGCGACGAUUUUAUUGGCAAUUAUUUUUGUAACUAUAAAAGCCAGCGGGAUAAUUGAGCGUGUGCCGUGCCGAAGACGGAGCGCGGCGUUGAGUAACCAACCGACCGAACCAGUGACCAGCGAUACCGCAAUAGCACCAACGGCGCUAUGAGCGUGCUGGCGUAUCCACGUACAAACGACGAGGAGAUUUUCCGUCAAUGCACCAAGGACUGUGGCGUGGUGACGGCCACAGAUGACUUCCAGUACUUCGCCCUGCGAUGCGUGGUCUGCAGCGAGAAGUUCCGCUACUUCGACUCCUUCAUCGGGCACAUGCAAACGGUGCAUCUGGGCGACCAUCCCGACUCGGAUGCAAACGCUCCCCCAUUCAGACUGGGUGAGCCCGUAUCACUGUCCUCCCACGACCGGGGCAGCAACGGGGAUCUGGCAAACUUCCAUGAGAUCGAAGACUUGACGGACGCCGAUACGGCACUGCUGGAGCCGCAAAUGGUUAUCAAACAGGAGCUGCAGGAUUUGCCCUGCAGUGAUGAUGACAUGGCCGAGGACUACGACGACGAUGACGACGACAGGCUGCCAGGAUCCGAGGCGAACGAGGAGGACGACGGAGAUGAGGAGACCAUUCUGCCGGAGAGCUCUGUUCCGGUGGUGAGCGCAAAACCGAAAACCAGGAUGAAGGUCACCAAGCGACGCCAGCGACUGGAUUUGAAGAAUGAGCCGCUACUGGACGUGAAAAACGAACCGCUACUGGUUGAGGGGGAGUCCUCCCUUGACGACUACGACUCUCAAAUGAUGGACGAUAACUCGGGCGAGUACAUGGACUACAGUGGGGUGGAGGAGACGAGCCAUGGAGCCGAAGGCGACUUCCUCAACUACGACGAAAUGGUCGAGGAGUCUCUGCUGGGGCGGGAGAGAGGAGUAACGAUGCACAUCAAAGACCGGAAGAUGAUCAAGUUCCUGAUCCAGUCGUACAAGCGUAAUCCCUUCCUCUGGGAUCACGGCAAUCCGCAGUUCCGGGAUAGGGUGAAACGCGCUCGCUUCCUCGACUGGAUCGUGCUGGAGUUCAAGAGCCGCUUCAACAUCGCCCUGGCCAAGGACGCCAUCACCCGAAAGUGGGACAACCUGAGAACGGUGUACAAGCGCGAGUGCAAUCGCAUGGCCCUGGAGAAGACGAACGUCAGUACGCUGUGGUACUUUAGGGAGCUGCUCUUCCUCAACGACGUCUACAGCUACACCGAUAAGAUGGCCAAGACGGUGGUGAAGGAGACGAACUAUCGCCGCCGGUUCUCGGCCAUUUGGAGCGACACCUCAACGUCCAGACUACUCACCAUGGUGAAGCGGUAUCAGUGCUUCUACAAUCGCUUCGAUCCCGACUAUCGCAGCAAGGAGCGGCGCGGCGAAGGCCUCCACCAGAUGGCCGUGGAGCUGCAGGAGCUGAUCGACGUGUCCACCAUCCAGAUCUCGAAAAGAAUUUCGCAGCUGCGCUUCGAUUACUCCAAGCAGAAGAUGGAGCGCCUCAAUUGCGAGCGGCAGGGGCGUCCGUUCACUUCCAAGUACAUCUACUACGACCAAAUGCACUUCAUGGACGAGGACAUACCGCCGUUUAAGUGCCAGCACUGUCCGGAGAUCGUCCAGACGCUGCGAGAGCUGGAUCUGCAUCUGCUGAACCACCAGCCAAGCCUGGGUGGCGGCUACUACUGCCACAUCUGCGCCAUCCAGUUCGCCAGCUCCGAGGAGUUCGACAGCCACAAGCAACUGCAUCUGGGCGUGGGCUCGGACGUCCGAUUCAACUGCGAACUGUGCACGGCCAGCUUCCGGGAGAAGGCCAACUACGACGAGCAUCUGCGCCGGCACAACGAGGAGCUGUUCCUGCCCUCGCUGGCCCUCAAUCACAGCAUCAUUGAAGGCGGCGGCGACGACGAGCCGGAGAGUACGAAGCUAACGCCGGCAGGCACUGGACGACGCGGUAGACCAUCGGGAUCGGCUUCGAAGUCUGCCAUGGAGGUGUCCGACGAUCAGGAUGCGGUUGGCGGGGAUGGAGGCAAGCCGUAUGGUUGCGAGGUGUGCCGCCGAAGCUUCGCCACGCCCGGCCAUCUGAACGCCCAUCGGAUCGUGCACCAGGACGAGCGCGAACGCUGCUACAAGUGCGACUAUCCGCAGUGCAACAAAUCCUUUGUGGCGCGCAACAGCCUCUUCGAGCACCUGAAACAGCACUACAGCAACGAGGAGUUCAAGUGCGACAUCUGCGGCAAGACCUUCAAGUCCACGAAGAAUCUGCAGAACCACAAGCAGAUCCACGACAAGGUUAAGCGCUAUGUCUGUCAGAUCUGUGGCUCAGCGUUCGCCCAGGCAGCCGGCCUCUAUCUUCACAAGCGGCGGCACAACCGUCCCAACGGUGUCGUGGGCGCUGUGGGCCGUUCAGGCCGGACCACCCUGUGAGAUAGGGCGGAUCGGGAGGGCGGCGAUCGGUCCGGGUCCAAACGGGACCGGAUAGCGGGUCGUGGAAGAGGACGGGGCCGUGGCCGGGGUCGAGGUCGUGGUCGCCAUGUGAAAUAGUCCUCCCUGAAACGUACUGUCCGCGAACGACUGAAUCUGAAAAGGCACUUUCGAGGAGAUCGCACUCGUAACUCGUAACUCGUAUCUGUAAAUAGAAAUUAAUUAAAUUUUGUAACCUGAUCCGGCAUUCAAGAAUGAGGAAUACUUAGUGGUAAGAAGCCCAGAUGUCAAGCAGACUCCAAAAGAAGCUCCAUUUAGGCGUAAGUUCCAUCAUCUAGCACAAUUUCCACUCAUGCCAGACACUCAGCCCUAAUCCUAAGAGCAGCUAAGACGAAAUACUAAUUCUUAUCCCAAGAAAGCGCCACCUGAUAACACCAGAGAGAAGUUUGUGAAAUAGUUAACAGGAGGAACCCCUCCCAGGAGGAUCUCCUCCCCAGUCACAAGGAUCACAAGAAUCGUAACAAAAAGUGCGCUUCCAGAAGAGUCAGAAAGUCAAAAAAAAACCUUAAAAUGCCACUUAAGAAGCGUCUUCGAAGAAUGUAAAUCACAAAUCACAAUUCUAAUUUAUAUCCUAGCAAUACCGAAUGAGAUUUUAGUACUAUACGAUCUAUAUACAUAAUUAUACACCCCACAACACACGUAUUCGGAAGGCCCUCGAAUAAAUAGGUUUAAACGAUUAAAAAGCAAAAAAAAAC